rnacentral:lncRNA from 1 species
GCCAGUUACUGAUGAGCGCCUCUCAACGCCAAGUUCAACCUUUAUGCUUGUGCUUUGCAAACGGAUCGGGAACUUUCAGUGUUUUCCCUUUGCCAAUAGCCACGAUGCAGAGCUUUGUCAGGAGAGACCAUUGGAAAACCAGGAGAAAGGAAAAGCUCCUGUGCGUUUUUUCCAGGCGAGCUGCCCCUCACCUCCUGGGCAUGGGCCUUCUCUCCGCCAGCUGCAGCGUCUGCACUGACAGAUUUCCCAGCGCCUGGCCCUGCCGCCCGCCCAGCCUUCGCUGCAGGGGAAUUCCGCCAGGUGCCAUCUCCAGCGAGUCCCACCACAGCGGCCUACGGGUGCUGUGGGUGCUGACGAUUCACUAAAAUUGAACAAAAGAGAUUCAAACAAACAAGCUGACAACAGUCUUCGAGAUAUGCACAAGAUACAAGAUUCCGCUGAGAAAGAAGCAGAAAACUGCCGUGGCACGAAAAGCCCAGAAGAAAGCAUGCCAGAGAAAGCUUUCCUGAAAUAAAGCUC